rnacentral:snoRNA from 1 species
AAGCUGUGAUGUGGGCACUUUCUCAACAAGUUCUUAAAUCUCUCCCAAGCUUCAUACAAACUUUCUUGAUCAUGAUGGACAAAGGUCAUUAUCUCAUUACGUAGUUU